GGAUAAUGAAGUAAAAUUACAAUUAGUUUCGACCUAAUAUUAAGAUAAAUAUAUCUCUUAUCUA
rnacentral:tRNA from 1 species